AUUGAACGCUGGCGGAAUGCUUUACACAUGCAAGUCGAACGGCAGCACGGACUUCGGUCUGGUGGCGAGUGGCGAACGGGUGAGUAAUGCAUCGGAACGUACCUUUCAGUGGGGGAUAACGUAGCGAAAGUUACGCUAAUACCGCAUAUUCUGUGAGCAGGAAAGCAGGGGAUCGCAAGACCUUGCGCUGAUUGAGCGGCCGAUGUCAGAUUAGCUAGUUGGUGAGGUAAAGGCUCACCAAGGCGACGAUCUGUAGCGGGUCUGAGAGGAUGAUCCGCCACACUGGAACUGAGACACGGUCCAGACUCCUACGGGAGGCAGCAGUGGGGAAUUUUGGACAAUGGGGGCAACCCUGAUCCAGCCAUGCCGCGUGAGUGAAGAAGGCCUUCGGGUUGUAAAGCUCUUUCGGCCGGGAAGAAAUCGCACGGGCUAAUACCCUGUGUGGAUGACGGUACCGGAAUAAGAAGCACCGGCUAACUACGUGCCAGCCGCCGCCGUAAUAC
rnacentral:rRNA from 1 species